rnacentral:rRNA from 1 species
GACGAACGCUGGCGGCGUGCUUAACACAUGCAAGUCGAACGGAAAGGCCCUGCUUUUGUGGGGUGCUCGAGUGGCGAACGGGUGAGUAACACGUGAGUAACCUGCCCUUGACUUUGGGAUAACUUCAGGAAACUGGGGCUAAUACCGGAUAGGAGCUCCUGCUGCAUGGUGGGGGUUGGAAAGUUUCGGCGGUUGGGGAUGGACUCGCGGCUUAUCAGCUUGUUGGUGGGGUAGUGGCUUACCAAGGCUUUGACGGGUAGCCGGCCUGAGAGGGUGACCGGCCACAGUGGGACUGAGAUACGGGCCAGACUCCUACGGGAGGCAGCAGUGGGGAAUAUUGCACAAUGGGCGGAAGCCUGAUGCAGCAACGCCGCGUGCGGGAUGACGGCCUUCGGGUUGUAAACCGCUUUCGCCUGUGACGAAGCGUGAGUGACGGUAAUGGGUAAAGAAGCACAGGCUAACUACGUG